AGCCGAAACGCGCACCACCGAGUGCGGCGCGUCGCGGCGGGUGGUACCCGCCGCCUGAUGAUGGCAGCCGACC
rnacentral:hammerhead_ribozyme from 1 species